GCAGAAUUUUAUGCCAUACAUUUGAAUUCAACAUUAUUGGUGUUGAAUGCUGAUUAUCCAACUGGUCUGCAUCUUUCUUUUCUGUUUUUGUUUCCCAGAGCUUCUCCUCUUUAAGUAAUUCACAGUAGAUUGAAAUCUGAUACACUAUUUGGUACUGGCAAAGAGAAUUGAAAAGAAAUCACCUUUUCUUUUCUUUUGUUU
rnacentral:misc_RNA from 1 species